UUUUAUUAUCCGCACUAAAUUCCCGCGUCCAAAGUUCAGAAACACAAUUCCCCCCAAUCCCAUCACCAACCUUGUUUUACCCAAUUUUCAACAGUCAUUCUCCGCUGCCAUCGUCGCUCCGUCAUAGUUGCACCACCGUCGUUCUCUUGCUCGCACCGCCGUUGCGCUCUAUUGCUGCUGCAACCCUUGCCGACUUCGAUUCCAACCCCAACCUCAUUGUACAGUCCGCCGCCGCACUUGGCAACUUCGCCUGUGGCCUUGACGCCGGUGUCCGUGCUGUCCUCGACGCCGGAGCUUUCCCUCGCUUGAUCAGGCUCCUCUCUGCCUCCGAUGACAAGGUUGUGGAUGCAGCUGCACGUUCUCUAUGAAUGAUUUAUCCAUCAAAAUUGGCCCCAAAAUAUGACUUUUUCAAGGAAGAGAACUUGGAGUUCCUGCUUUUAGUGUUGAAAAGCGAGAAUGAAAGUCUUUCUGCACUAGGUGCGAGCAUUAUUAUUCAUUCAUGCGAGACAGGUGAAGAACAGAAUAUCUUAUGCUAUGCUGGUGUGUUGGACAAACUCAUCAGCCUUCUGUAUGGUUCUCUAAGCCAGCAAGAUGCUAGUUUGGAGUCCAUAGCUGUGAUUGUUAAAAACAAUUCUGAAGCUGUCUCUAAAUUUGUCGACCUUAGAGGUGGAAGAGCUUUGAGCCCUGUAAUUGAAUUAAGUAAAGACAAAUAUUCUCGAACAAGAUUACUAGCUUGCUUGUGCCUGAUUUGUGUUAAGAAUGCUUCUUCUUGCCAUCUUCAAGACACAUGAACCAAAACCAAACUGAUAAAUAUUCUGCUUGAACUCUUUGAUGAUUCUGGUCAAGUUGGAGAUGAAGCUCCAUUUCCAGAGCAAGUGGAUAAUAGCUGUUUUUUUGGUGGUUUCAUUCUUUGGAACCAUGAUAUCGAAGAAGCCUUGUGGAUUUUUACUUUGUUUUGAAUAUUUUGUAUUAUUAGUGGAUUGUAAUUUAAACGAAUAUAAGUCUGAGUUUAGUUAUUUA